rnacentral:rRNA from 1 species
GUAUUAGCUAGUUGGUGAGGUAACGGCUCACCAAGGCGACGAUACAUAGCCGACCUGAGAGGGUGAUCGGCCACACUGGGACUGAGACACGGCCCAGACUCCUACGGGAGGCAGCAGUAGGGAAUCUUCGGCAAUGGGGGAAACCCUGACCGAGCAACGCCGCGUGAGUGAAGAAGGUUUUCGGAUCGUAAAGCUCUGUUGUAAGAGAAGAACGUGUGUGAGAGUGGAAAGUUCACACAGUGACGGUAACUUACCAGAAAGGGACGGCUAACUACGUGCCAGCAGCCGCGGUAAUACGUAGGUCCCGAGCGUUGUCCGGAUUUAUUGGGCGUAAAGCGAGCGCAGGCGGUUUAAUAAGUCUGAAGUUAAAGGCAGUGGCUCAACCAUUGUUCGCUUUGGAAACUGUUAGACUUGAGUGCAGAAGGGGAGAGUGGAAUUCCAUGUGUAGCGGUGAAAUGCGUAGAUAUAUGGAGGAACACCGGUGGCGAAAGCGGCUCUCUGGUCUGUAACUGACGCUGAGGCUCGAAAGCGUGGGGAGCAAACAGGAUUAGAUACCCUGGUAUCCCCGGCCUUAACCAAUGAGUGCUAGGUGUUAGGCCCUUUCCGGGGCUUAGUGCCGCAGCUAACGCAUUAAGCACUCCGCCUGGGGAGUACGACCGCAAGGUUGAAACUCAAAGGAAUUGACGGGGGCCCGCACAAGCGGUGGAGCAUGUGG